GAAAGAGAGUUAAACAGUAUGUGAAAUUGUUAAAAGGGAAACGAUUGAAGUCAGUCGUGCUCUUUGGAUUCAGCCGGUUCUGCCGGUGUACUUCCAUUGAGUGGGGUCAACAUCAGUUUUGAUCGCUGGAUAAAGGCAGGAAGAAGGUAGCACCUCCGGGUGAACUUAUAGCUUUCUGUCGCAUACAGUGGUUGGGACUGAGGAACGCAGCAUGCCUUUAUGGCCGGGAUUCGUCCACGUACAUGCUUAGGAUGUU
rnacentral:rRNA from 1 species